rnacentral:rRNA from 1 species
GAUGAACGCUAGCGGCAGGCUUAACGCAUGCAAGUCGAGGGGUAACAUAGAAAAGCUUGCUUUUCUGAUGACGACCGGCGCACGGGUGCGUAACGCGUAUACAACCUACCUUUUAGCGGGGAAUAGCCCAGGGAAACUUGGAUUAAUGCCCCAUAGUAUAUAGACUUCUCCUGAAGUUUAUAUUAAACAUUUAUGGCUAUUAGAUGGGUAUGCGUCCUAUUAGUUAGUUGGUAAGGUAACGGCUUACCAAGGCAGCGAUAGGUAGGGGUCCUGAGAGGGAGAUCCCCACACUGGUACUGAGACACGGACCAGACUCCUACGGGAGGCAGCAGUGAGGAAUAUUGGACAAUGGGCGAGAGCCUGAUCCAGCCAUGCCGCGUGCAGGAAGACUGCCCUAUGGGUUGUAAACUGCUUUUACAGAGGAAGAACCACCCCCACGUGUGGGGGUUUGACGGUACUCUGCGAAUAAGGAUCGGCUAACUCCGUG